rnacentral:rRNA from 1 species
GAUCAACGCUGGCGGCGUGCUUAACACAUGCAAGUCGAACGAAGUUUUUCCUUCGGGAGAAACUUAGUGGCGGACGGGUGAGUAACGCGUGGGUAACCUGCCCUGUACAGGGGGACAACAGCUGGAAACGGCUGCUAAUACCGCAUAAGCACUUAGCACUGCAUGGUGCAUAGGGAAAAGGAGCAAUCCGGUACAGGAUGGACCCGCGUCUGAUUAGCCAGUUGGCAGGGUAACGGCCUACCAAAGCGACGAUCAGUAGCCGAUCUGAGAGGAUGUACGGCCACAUUGGGACUGAGACACGGCCCAGACUCCUACGGGAGGCAGCAGUGGGGAAUAUUGCACAAUGGAGGAAACUCUGAUGCAGCGACGCCGCGUGAGUGAAGAAGUAUUUCGGUAUGUAAAGCUCUAUCAGCAGGGAAGAAAAUGACGGUACCUGACGAAGAAGCACCGGCUAAAUACGUG